rnacentral:lncRNA from 1 species
UUAUUUUUAAGUAAUAUUUUUAUUACUAUUAAUUACAUAAUAUAAUUUUAAUUUCAAAUUAUAACUCUUAUUCCUCUUGUUCCAAUCUAACCAUCCAAACAUUAUUUAUCUUAUUCCUAGGAACAAUCAAAUUUUCAUCCAAACGCAAAAUUGAUCUAGUUCCUGCUUAUACCUGAACUUGUACCUAUCCCUAGAACUAGCAGUUCUUACUUAUACCCGAACAGGGUACGAAUCGAAUUCACGACCUCAAAAAAU